AUUCUCUCCUUUUUAAAUUUUAGCAAAAUUUUGCCAAAGUCUCUUUACUAUAGUAUAGGGACUUUGGUUCGAUUUUAAAGUAAUACUUUUGGUCGAUGAUCCAUUAUUUUUUUACUAAUAAUUAUAACAUUUUGUUAUUAAUUUUCUUAAUAAACAAUUCUUCAAAGUAUUUGAAUAUUAUUAUCAAUUAUUAUUAUUUUAUUUUAUAGAACAUCAUCAGUGUCCAUUAGUCCUCAUAUCUUGUUGAGAUUAAAGUCCAUUUAAUAAUCAUUUAAAGUGUUUUAAAUUUCCUUCAGUGCUAACAUUCCUGUGGCUAACAGCUAUAAUCAUAUUAUUUGUAUAGUAGUAUCAGACUUUACUAUGAUUAGACUGUCUCGUAUUUCCUUUAAAAAGUGUUUUUGAAGUUGCUAAUACUACUGACCUGACCUCAGGUGUAUAUUGUAUAAAGUCAUCAUGAGGUGUGUGUGUUGGUCAUGUACUAGUAUCAUGUACAGGAGAUGAAGCUGUUGCUGUAUUGUUUACUGUAAAUAAUGAUUCUUAUUUUGCCAAAAACUGAUCAAUUACUAGUAAUAAUUAAUUCUGUUUAUUCUUUUUUUAAUGUCUACAACUUGAGUGGAGCAUCCAUUCCACUGGCAGCAGCUGUUGCUGUUUUUAAAGUA